UACGGAGGGAGCUAGCGUUGUUCGGAAUUACUGGGCGUAAAGCGCGCGUAGGCGGCUUUGUAAGUUAGAGGUGAAAGCCCGGGGCUCAACUCCGGAACUGCCUUUAAGACUGCAUCGCUUGAAUCCGGGAGAGGUGAGUGGAAUUCCGAGUGUAGAGGUGAAAUUCGUAGAUAUUCGGAAGAACACCAGUGGCGAAGGCGGCUCACUGGACCGUUAUUGACGCUGAGGUGCGAAAGCGUGGGGAGCAAACAGG
rnacentral:rRNA from 1 species